GCACCCUUGGUGUAUGGAAACACACAUCUUACAGUUCCAUGUCCCAGUCGAAUCAAUUAAGAUGAGUCCGGGGUUCAAAUCCCCGAGAGUGCA